GUCAAGUUACUGGUAGCUGAACGCAAGUUUUAAACCAUUGGCGGGAAAAAGAGUUAGAGAAACUGAGCUUGAUAAAAACAGCGUUGUCCUGAGAUUAAAUACCUACAGUAACCCUUUUUUUAAUCGUGUACUAACACGUUUGGUUGCUUACUACAUUUUGUUUCUUCAUUUAUCCUCAAGUUUGGAUGUUUUGUGCUUCGCAUAUCAACAGUUGAACAGGUGAUGACGUUUCCUGUAGUUUUGUUCCCGGAGGAGGAAGACUGUGGCAGCAGUUCACGCCAGUUUUAGGAUGGAGAAAGCACAGUACUCCAAGUCACCAGAGAGGUACUCCACGCCACCAUGUAGAGUAUGGCUACAUAGGUAAGUGUGGGUUCAUUCACUUAACCCAGAUGCUUAACUUGUUUCACUUAACCCAGAUGCUUUCAGUUUAUUUUUAAGGGCAAGAAGGCAGAGGUAGGGGGAAGUUUUAGCUCUGCACAUGAAGAACAUUUGGAGAAGAUCAAGUGGAGUUAAGAGAGGGUCGAGCUGAGGGCACAGCUGGUUCAACAAUCAGGAGCCAUAAGGAAGAAUCUUUCUAACUGGGAUUCCCCUGAUGAGGCUGUCCAGAACCAGGUCCCCAGGUACCAGAAAGG
ensembl:lncRNA